UACGUAGGGUGCGAGCGUUAAUCGGAAUUACUGGGCGUAAAGCGUGCGCAGGCGGUUUUGUAAGCCAGAUUUGAAAUCCCCGGGCUUAACCUGGGAAUGGCAUUUGGGACUGCAAGGCUGGAGUUUGGCAGAGGAGACUGGAAUUCCCGGUGUAGCAGUGAAAUGCGUAGAUAUCGGGAGGAAUACCGAUGGCGAAGGCAGGUCUCUGGGCUAUAACUGACGCUCAUGCACGAAAGCGUGGGGAGCAAACAGG
rnacentral:rRNA from 1 species